rnacentral:lncRNA from 1 species
UAUCACUGCAUGGACCAGGCCAGCAUGGAGGGUAGGAGGGGCAGCUACGGAGGGGUUUUGGAUGCCCCAGAGAGCAUUUUUCAUUGGAUUCUGGAGGCCGUAGGGAGCCCUGGAGUUUGUGGAGUGCGAUGGGGAAGGGCCAAGUGGAGACUGGUGUGCGGAGGUGUCCAUGACUGUGAUAGUCCAGCUGUGAGUGAGGGGGCUGGGUCAGAGGGGAGAAGGGGACGGGCACUGCCACCAGGGAUAACUAUUCUUCCCAAAGCUUGAGCAGCUCCAGUUGGACCAUAUUAUCCUGCCAGGCCAGACACUCUAGUGUCAGCAGUGAAUUCAGCUAGAAUUGUGUGUGUUUUUGGUUUGCAGAACACUUUUCAUCUUGUUCCAUGUUCAUAGCAAUGCUGGGAGGCAGUUGCUUGGAUUAUUCCCCCUUAACAGACGAAGAAACGAAGGCUCAGAGGUAUGACGUGACACUCUCAAGGCCACAGAGCCUCCUGCCUCUCCUACACACACCCUUCUCAAGGAGCGACCAAGGGAUUUUAUUAUCUUCCUUCUGCCCGAGAAGCAGUGUGGUCCAGUGGCGAGAGCUCUGCUCACCGGCAAGAAGACCUGGCUUUGAAUUCAGCCUCUCAUACUUGCUCCCCAAGUCUCUCUCAGCCUCAGUUUCCCCAUAUGUAAUAAGUAUACUAACAGGACUUGUGCAGAAGAUCACGUGAGAAGGUGUGCAAAGUGCUGUCCCAAAGGGAGCUCCUCUUAUCACGGCCCCUCUCAGCUCUGCCGAGGACCUUCACUGGAGACUCUCAAGUCAUUCGUUUCUUCAGCCUGGUUCCUGAGGCUUCUCUUGGGGCCUCUGGCCAGGCACCAUUGCCUUCGGGGUCUCCGAGGAGGCCCCCCAUCCGGCUGAGGUAGGAGGCCUAAUUACUGUCAAGGUCUUGAAGGAAGGCUGUAAGUCAUCAGCAGCACGUAGGAGGGGCUGGAUGCGAGAGGAGAAGGCCCCCCUCUUAUUUGGGGGGACUUGGGGUGGGGGCAAGGUGAGGCCAGAGCUUGCAUGGAAAGAAUGUGGGGGAAGGAGAGGCGGACGGAGUCAGACACUAGCUGAACCCCAUUGGCAGGCAGGCCCAGAUUCGGAGGAAAAGGGAAAAGCAGAGAGGAGGGGGAGAUUGGAGGGCUGAGCACACAGCUAAGUCUCCCGGCACCU